rnacentral:tRNA from 1 species
GCCUUGUGGUGUACAGCACAUAAAAUUGCAAAUUUUAAAGAGUAGAUAACUCUGCCGGGGCUU